GGGCGGAGGAGCCAGGAGAGGCGGGGAGGCACGGGGUGUGAAGUGCGGCCUGUAUAGCAACCGGCGCACGGCGCCUUCCGCGGGUUGUGACCUUUGAAGAGAAAUGCCGUAGAAGCAUGGACGUGGCUUUUCACCAAGGUUAUUCACUAAUUUAAGUGUUUUUUUUAAUUUUAUUUUAUUUUAUUUUAUUUUUUGAGACAGGUACUCACUCUGUCUCCCAGGCCGGAGUGCAAUUAUCUGUACAAUUGAUAAUCUAUAAGAUGGUCCAACCUGCGUAACAGAGUGAGAUUCCGUCUCAAAAAAAAAAAAAAAAAAGAAA